rnacentral:rRNA from 1 species
GCGGCGUGCUUAACACAUGCAAGUCGAACGAUGAACCGCUUUCGGGCGGGGAUUAGUGGCGAACGGGUGAGUAACACGUGGGCAAUCUGCCCUGCACUCUGGGACAAGCCCUGGAAACGGGGUCUAAUACCGGAUAUGACUGUCCAUCGCAUGGUGGAUGGUGUAAAGCUCCGGCGGUGCAGGAUGAGCCCGCGGCCUAUCAGCUUGUUGGUGAGGUAGUGGCUCACCAAGGCGACGACGGGUAGCCGGCCUGAGAGGGCGACCGGCCACACUGGGACUGAGACACGGCCCAGACUCCUACGGGAGGCAGCAGUGGGGAAUAUUGCACAAUGGGCGAAAGCCUGAUGCAGCGACGCCGCGUGAGGGAUGACGGCCUUCGGGUUGUAAACCUCUUUCAGCAGGGAAGAAGCGAAAGUGACGGUACCUGCAGAAGAAGCGCCGGCUAACUACGUGCCAGCAGCCGCGGUAAUACGUAGGGCGCAAGCGUUGUCCGGAAUUAUUGGGCGUAAAGAGCUCGUAGGCGGCUUGUCACGUCGGUUGUGAAAGCCCGGGGCUUAACCCCGGGUCUGCAGUCGAUACGGGCAGGCUAGAGUUCGGUAGGGGAGAUCGGAAUUCCUGGUGUAGCGGUGAAAUGCGCAGAUAUCAGGAGGAACACCGGUGGCGAAGGCGGAUCUCUGGGCCGAUACUGACGCUGAGGAGCGAAAGCGUGGGGAGCGAACAGGAUUAGAUACCCUGGUAGUCCACGCCGUAAACGGUGGGCACUAGGUGUGGGCAACAUUCCA